UGUAGAAAAAAAUGUCGGUUGCAAUUAAACCCCAUGGAAUUUGAGAUCCUUUUUUUAAUGAAGUGCAAAAUAAAAGUUUUAAAAAACUAAAUUAAUUUUAAGGUACUACGUUCGAAAACUACGGUCGCACGAAUUUUACUUAUGGAAUCUUCACUAUUUCACAAAAGGAAACAAGAGGGACACUUCAAGGAGAUAAACAAUGUUACUCGUACGAGCUCGCGACUGAUGAGCAAGGAAAAUGAAUCAGUCAUCAAUCAUGACUGAAUAAGAAAUGAAUGUUUCCCGAUAUAUGCUUGCCACUAACACGACGCACGAUAACACGAUGCGAGGCGCAAAGAGAUUCUGUGACAGCAUCCAUGAAACAGCAAUGUAUGUUUUGCCGUGUUUAUUUAUUUAUUCAGCCUGCGACGAAUCCUCGGUAUAAUUGAAAUCAUGGUCCUCGAAAUAUCAACACACGUUGUCCAUAUUGUGACAUGGCGAACUCGCUACAAAGUUGCGCAAUACUCGAGACACGUAAACCUCUUGUGAAAAACUUUAACCUGUACAUGGCGGGUUACUGCCGCAUCGACCGAGCAACCUGUUAAAAUGGGUCUUUAACCUUUGCAUACACAGUUCCAUUCAAAAAUGAUGUUCGUUAUUUCAAUCUUCUUCAGAUUAAAAUUCUAAACAGUUUCAUGUAAACUUGAACUUGUAACAUUGUUGCACGCUGAUCAGUGUAAAGUCUGAAUUAUACACAUAGAAAUAUAAUAUAACAGAAAACGACAAUAUUUAAGUUACAUAAAUUUGAAUUGAACUUUGACUCUUUAUGUAACAUAAAUUUAUGCAAAUUAUAAUCCUUCAUAUAUGGCUGGCAUUAUUCAUAAAUGAUUCAAUAUUCUUGUGGAAGAAUUUGUUUAUCUAGUGACUAUAUGAAGCACAAGAAUGAGACUAAAUAUUCUAUUAAUUUGUUAUUCUUGUUAGGUCCAACUUCUGAAAAGAAUUUCAAUGCAUCAACUUCCUAUUCUAUGAUUAUUACUUGCUAAUUUAAAUAGCUGACACACGAGGCAUAUAAAAAAGACCUCUCUCAAUUCUUUUAAUUUCAUUAAUUUUUCAAAUAUUAACAUAAAGCAUA